rnacentral:rRNA from 1 species
AUUCAAUUUCUGCCCUGUCAGCUUUCGAUGGUAGGAUCGAGGCCUACCAUGGCGUUUACGGGUAACGGAGAAUUAGGGUUCGAUUCCGGAGAGGGAGCCUGAGAAAUGGCUACCACAUCCAAGGAAGGCAGCAGGCGCGUAAAUUGCCCGAAUCCUGACACAGGGAGGUAGUGACAAGAAAUAACAAUACAGGGCUAUUUUAGUCUUGUAAUUGGAAUGAGUACAAUUUACAUCUCUUCACGAGGAUCAAUUGGAGGGCAAGUCUGGUGCCAGCAGCCGCGGUAAUUCCAGCUCCAAUAGCGUAUAUUAAAGUUGUUGCAGUUAAAACGCUCGUAGUCGGAUUUCGGGGCGUGCCCGCCGGUCUGCCGAUGGGUAUGCACUGGCGGGGGCGUCCUUCCUUCCGGAGACUGGUCCUACUCUUAACUGAGCGGGGUCGGGAGUCGGAUCGUUUACUUUGAAAAAAUCAGAGUGUUUCAAGCAGGCAGCUCGCUCUUGCAUGGAUUAGCAUGGGAUAAUGAAAUAGGACUUUGGUGCUAUUUUGUUGGUUUCGAACACCGAAGUAAUGAUUAACAGGGACAGUCAGGGGCACUCGUAUUCCGCCGAGAGAGGUGAAAUUCUCAGACCAGCGGAAGACGAACCACUGCGAAAGCAUUUGCCAGGGAUGUUUUCACUGAUCAAGAACGAAAGUUAGGGGAUCGAAGACGAUCAGAUACCGUCGUAAUCUUAACCAUAAACCAUGCCGACUAGGGAUCGGCGGAAGUCCUUUUUGACUCCGUCGGCACCUUAUGGGAAACUAUAGUCUUUGGGUUCCGGGGGGAGUAUGGUCGCAAGGCUGAAACUUAAAGGAAUUGACGGAAGGGCACCACCAGGAGUGGAGCCUGCGGCUUAAUUUGACUCAACACGGGGAAACUUACCAGGUCCAGACAUUGUGAGGAUUGACAGAUUGAGAGCUCUUUCUUGAUUCGAUGGGUGGUGGUGCAUG